rnacentral:snRNA from 1 species
GUGCUCGCUUUGGCAGCACAUAUGCUAAAAAUGGAACGAUACGGAGAAGAUUAGCAUGGCCCCUGCGCAAAGAUGAUAUGCAAAUUCGUGAAGCGUUCCAUAUUUUU